rnacentral:piRNA from 1 species
UACCAAAUGAGGAAUGAGAGGUGUCCGUA